rnacentral:lncRNA from 1 species
AGAAGCUCAAUGAAUUCUAGACACAAAAAUAUGAAGAAAACUACAUGCAGGCACAUCAUACUGAAAUUACUUAAAAGCACUAAUAACAGAAAAAAUGUUUAACAUAUUUUUAAAAUAGCUAUAGAUAAAAGGCAAAUUAUGUACAAUUGCAAAGACAAGAAUGACAAUAGACUUCUUGGAAACAAUACAAGCAGAAGACAGUGGAGCAACAUCUUUAAAAUAAUGAAAGGAAAAUUGUCACCUAGAAUUCAACACUCAGUGAAAAUAUCUUUCAAAAGCAAAAGUGAAAUUAAGAUUUUUUUCAGAUACAAAGUAGAAGAAUUCGUCACUAGCAGACUACUCUACAAGAAAUGUUAAAAGAAAUCCACCAGGUGGAAGAAGGUGAUAACAGAUAGAAAUCUGGAUCUACAUAAACCAUGAAGGACACUGGAAAUGAUAAACAUAUGUCGUAUGUGAAACAAUCAAGACAGUGCCUGAAGACAGUCUCAAAGGUAAUUUUGGUUGACAAAAACAUGUAGAACACAAAACACCCUUCUCUUAGCACAGCAUUACUUAGUCUUCUCCCAAUUUCAGUUCCCUCCCAACACAACGUUGACCAUAAUUCAUUUUAUCAACAAAUACUCACAGUGUUUAUUAUGUGUGAAAGCUAAGACAUCCUGGUUUUUCAGUUCUAUAAAUAAUAAUGCAAUGAGCAUCUGUGUAUACAAAAUUUCACUGUUAGCAGUGAAAUCCAUUUCAAUGUUAGCAAAGUCUUUAACAAAAUUUCAGUUCAAAUUACCAUGUGAAAAAUUAUGACUAUCAUAGUUAACAGAAUUAAUUGGUACAAGGGCAGUCUUCAUGAUAUUUCACAUUUUUCGGCAAAUAAAAUAGGAUGACAUAAUGGGUGAAGGUGUCCAAAAGGUACAAAGUUCCAGUAAUAAGUUAAAUAAGUCCUGGGGAUGUAAUGUACAGUUAAUAAUACUGUAGCAUAUACUGUCAUGAGCCACAUAAUGACAUUUUAGUCAACAAUGUACUGUAUAUAUGACUGUGGACCCAUAAGAUUAGUACUGUAUAGCCUAGGUGUGUAGUAGGCUAUACCAUCUAGGUUUGUGUGAGUCUGUGAUUUUUUCACUAGGACAAAAUUGCCUAAUGAUGCAUUUCUCAGAACGUAUCUUCAUCGUUAAGUAAAGCAUGACUGUAUUUGAAAGUUGCUAAGAGAGUAGAUCUUAAAAGUUCUCAUUAUAAGAAAAGAGUCUGGGGC